UUUUGUUUGUUUGUUUGUCGUUUUUUUUGACAGUGUAAAAAAAAAAAAUAAAAAAAAACAAGCUGGAUUAAACCCCAACUUUUGUGGU
rnacentral:ribozyme from 1 species